UACGUAGGGGGCGAGCGUUGUCCGGAUUUACUGGGCGUAAAGCGCGUGUAGGCGGGAGAUUAAGUUGGGUGUGAAAGCCCGGGGCUCAACCCCGGGAUGCCGCCCAAGACUGGUCUCCUUGAGGACGGAAGAGGGGAGUGGAAUUCCUGGUGUAGCGGUGAAAUGCGUAGAGAUCAGGAGGAACACCCGUGGCGAAGGCGGCUCCCUGGUCCGUUUCUGACGCUGACGACGCGAAAGCGCGGGAGCGAAC
rnacentral:rRNA from 1 species